rnacentral:ncRNA from 1 species
AGGUGCCUGGGAAGAAACCCCGGGAGAAUAGGGAAGCGGGUGCAACUCCCGCGCGGGACCGCCGCCGUGAAGGGGAGGUCUGCUUUGUGCCACUGCGUUUUGCGGGAAGGAGAGCGGACCGGAGAACCUGAGCCGGAAGACCUGCCCGGCC